CCUACGGGAGGCAGCAGUGAGGAAUAUUGGUCAAUGGGCGCGAGCCUGAACCAGCCAAGUCGCGUGAGGGAGGACGGCCCUCCGGGUUGUAAACCUCUUUUGCCGGGGAGCAACUGGCGUCACGUGUGGCGCCACUGAGAGUACCCGGAGAAAAAGCAUCGGCUAACUCCGUGCCAGAAGCCGCGGUAAUACGGGGGAUGCGAGCGUUAUCCGGCUUUAUUGGGUUUAAAGGGGGCGUGGGCGGAUCGUUAAGUCAGUGGUCACAUUGAGGGGCUCAACCCCUGCCCGCCAUUGAAACUGGCGCUCUUGAGUGGAAGAGAAGUAUGCGGAAUGCGUGGUGUAGCGGUGAAAUGCAUAGAUAUCACGCAGAACCCCGAUUGCGAAGGCAGCAUGCCGGCUUCCGACUGACGCUGAAGCACGAAAGCGUGGGGAUCGAACAGGAUUAGAUACCCGAGUAGUC
rnacentral:rRNA from 1 species